ACACCAGUGGCGAAGGCGGCUUUCUAGGCCACGACUGACGCUGAGGCGCGAAAGCUAGGGGAGCAAACAGGAUUAGAUACCCUGGUAGUCCUAGCCGUAAACGAUGAAUACUAGGUGUGGGGGAGUAAUCUCUUCCGUGCCGCAGCUAACGCAUUAGGUAUUCCGCCUGGGGAGUACGGCCGCAAGGCUAAAACUCAAAGGAAUUGACGGGGACCCGCACAAGCAGCGGAGCAUGUGGCUUAAUUCGAAGCAACGCGAAGAACCUUACCUGGGCUUGACAUUUAGGUGAAGCGGCGGAAACGUCGUGGCCGAAAGGAGCCUAAACAGGUGGUGCAUGGCUGUCGUCAGCUCGUGUCGUGAGAUGUUAGGUUAAGUCCUGCAACGAGCGCAACCCUUGUCGUAUGUUACCAGCAUUAAGUUGGGGACUCAUACGAGACUGCCGGCGUCAAGCCGGAGGAAGGUGGGGACGACGUCAAGUCAUCAUGCCCCUUAUGUCCAGGGCUGCACACGUGCUACAUUGGCCGGCACAACGGGCUGCGAGCUCGCGAGAGUAAGCGAAUCCCUUAAAACCGGUCCUAGUUCGGAUUGGAGGCUGCAACCCGCCUCCAUGGAGUCGGAGUUGCUAGUAAUCGCGGAUCAGCACGCCGCGGUGAAUACGUUCCCGGGCCUUGUACACACCGCCCGUCACACCACCCGAGUCGUCUGCACCCGAAGUCGUCGGCCUAACCCGCAAGGGAGGGAGAUGCCGAAGGUGUGGAGGGUAAGGAGGGUGAAGUCGUAACA
rnacentral:rRNA from 1 species